UUUACUAUUGCUGAUGUACCAGUGGCCCCUUUGGACACCCCCACCACUAACCAAACUCUGGAGGACGUGUGUGAGGUCAGGCUGGGAAGCUGUGGCAGUGCAGGGCCUGCGAUGCAGAGCUGUGAGGCUCAGUGCCCCACGUCGUGCUAUGUGGGGAUGUGAUGCUGUAGGGCACCGUCAGCCUGACCGGUGUCUGCCUCAUUUCCUGCAUCCCAAGCAUUGUGCUGGCCUGCCAGCCUCUCUACUCUGGGGACCAGAUGAACCAACCCUGCAAGCUUGUUCUGGCCAUCUGGAUGCCAGCUGGUGCUCAGGGAAAUGGAUGUGCUCAUUGGGAACCCUGAAUGCUAUGUUCAACGGUGCUGGUGGCAAGAGUUCCUUCUACAAAUCGGCAAGGCCCACGUGUGGACAAAAGGAACCACCUCCAUGGAAGGGUCAGAGGAACAAAGGAAGGAGUGAAUGGAGGUCAGCUGGCACCAGGGUAUGCUCGGAUCCAUCGUGCCUUAGGAACGGCUCCCAGCCCACUUCUGACAUUUAUCUCACAGAACAGCCACAUUAAAAAUAAACACAGCUUGCACCAGCAUCCCCAGCCGCUGCACGGGGCCCUGCCAGGAGAACACAGCAAGCUGCAGCCAGCAGAGUGAGCUUGGAAAGGAGAAAGGGCUUGGGGACUUCAUUUUGUCACCAAACAUACUGCGAUGUAAUAUUCAGAGCAUUUGGAUUUGAUAUUUCUGCCUCGUGUUGGUAUAUUCCCUACAAGAGACAGCAGAACGCAGGGGGCAAUCGCGACCAAGUUGGUUUGGAAUCAGCAGUUCUUGGUUUGUGCAUUUCAAACUGCACUCACACACGGGUGGGCACACUGCACAUGCCUGAUGUGCUUUUCUCAUCUCUAAACUCGUGACGAAUCCUUCCCCUGUCUUCAGCUUCUUCUGAUGGGAUUGAAUAAAGCCAUGUGAAACACUCCCCCGUCUGUGAGCAGACCCCCAGCACCCGGCUGCCAUGCAUGCUUAGGAGGGGGUCACCAAUACACCCCCAGUGCCAAAUGUUUCGGAACACAACGUAACACACUGAAAUCUCUGCUGAGCUGUUGUGGCUCAAGCACAGUGCUGAGGGAGUGCUGCCCUGCAUCCCCCAGGUGGGGACACCGCACCGACCGUCGUGCUGCCCCAGCUGUGGGUCACGGCUGCAGUGAAGUUGUUGGACAAAGGCACAUGGAAGUGGGUGAGUGUGGGCAUGAGAAAGUAGGAAAAGUAUCUUUUUUUCCCGUGCUGUUUCAGUACAUGCUGAGGAAAUCGAGUGAGAGGCAGAGAUUGCCAGCUCUUAACUGCUAAAGAUAUUUGCAAGAGUCAUUUCCGCAAAUGUCUCCCAUUCCAUAUAUAGAUCCAUAGAGUCUGUGCUUCUAAUGGACUGACAAAUGUACCAUAACCCCGGAUGACUGUUGCUUCAUUGCUUGGCUAUACAGAUAAGAGGAAUGCUUCCUUUUGAUUGAGAUCUUAAAUCAAUUGUUCCCUUACCCAACGUCUCGUGGUUAUUAUCCAAGGAGAAGAUAAAGUUCAGGUGGUAAAUUGUUAAUAUUGU
ensembl:lncRNA